UACGUAGGGGGCAAGCGUUGUCCGGAAUCAUUGGGCGUAAAGAGCGUGUAGGCGGCCCGGUAAGUCCGCUGUGAAAGUCCAGGGCUCAACCCUGGGAUGCCGGUGGAUACUGUCGGGCUCGAGUCCGGAAGAGGAGUGUGGAAUUCCUGGUGUAGCGGUGGAAUGCGCAGAUAUCAGGAGGAACACCGGUGGCGAAGGCGGUUCUCUGGGCCUUACCUGACGCUGAGGAGCGAAAGCGUGGGGAGCGAACAGG
rnacentral:rRNA from 1 species